rnacentral:rRNA from 1 species
AUUGAACGCUGGCGGCAGGCCUAACACAUGCAAGUCGAACGAGUGGCGGACGGGUGAGUAAUGUCGGGGAAACUGCCUGAUGGAGGGGGAUAACUACUGGCAACGGUAACUAAUACCGCAUACCAUCGGAUGAGCCCAGAUGGGAUUAGCUAGUUGGUGGGGUAAAGGCUCACCUAGGAGAUGCUCCCUAGCUGGUCUGAGAGGAUGACCAGCGACACUGGAACUGAGACACGGUCCAGACUCCUACGGGAGGAAGCAGUGGGGAAUAUUGCACAAUGGGCGCAAGCCUGAUGCAGCCAUGCCGCGUGUAUGAAGAAGGCCUUCGGGUUUUAAAGUACUUUCAGCUGGGAGGCGUUACCCACAGAAGAAGCACCGGCUAACUCCGUGCCAGCAGCCGCGGUAAUUC